rnacentral:misc_RNA from 1 species
GAACUGCGAUAAGUAAUGUGAAUUGCAGAAUUCAGUGAAUCAUCGAGUCUUUGAACGCACAUUGCGCCCCCUGGCAUUCCGGGGGGCAUGCCUGUCCGAGCGUCAUUGCUGCCCUUCAAGCCCGGCUUGUGUGUUGGGUCGUCGUCCCCUCCGGGGGACGGGCCCGAAAGGCAGCGGCGGCACCGCGUCCGGUCCUCGAGCAUAUGGGGCUUUGUCACCCGCUCGAUAAGGACCGGCCGGGCGCCAGCCGGCGUCUCCAACCUUUUUUUCUCAGGUUGACCUCGGAUCAGGUAGGGAUACCCGCUGAACUUAAGC